UGGACCGCUGAUCUUACUGUUGUUCUGCAUAUCCCUUGGGGUCACAGAGGCACAAAAUCAAUGUUCCUGUGCCUAUAGCUGGACUCCAUUUCAAAGCAAAUGUUACCGCUUCAUUCCAGUGACAAAAGGACAUGCUGAAGCUGAGUUAUAUUGUCAAUAUCUUGGAGGAAACCUCGCCUCAGUGCACAGCGAAGAAGCCAACACAUUUAUAAAAAAUGUAAUUGCAAACAGAGACAACUCAAACCCGCAAACUUGGC